UACGGAGGGUGCAAGCGUUAUCCGGAUUCACUGGGUUUAAAGGGUGCGUAGGUGGGUCUGUAAGUCCGUGGUGAAAUUCUCCAAGCUUAACUUGGAAAACUGCCAUGGAUACUAUAGGUCUUGAAUACCGUGGACGUGAGCGGAAUAUGUCAUGUAGCGGUGAAAUGCUUAGAUAUGACAUAGAACACCAAUUGCGAAGGCAGCUCACUACACGAAUAUUGACACUGAGGCAACGGAA
rnacentral:rRNA from 1 species